AUGCAGCGAAUGGUAGCGCUGAGUGAGAUGACCCCAGCUCAGGGAAGGACCCAGGUUCUGCCUCUGGCCCCUCAGUUACUGCGCUACUCCCCAAGACUCUCUUCCUCUAUUGCACGUCUAGGACCAUCCCUAGAAGGCAGUGCUCCGGCAACCUGGACAGCGCGGCAGCUGCUCUUCGAAGUGUUCGACACCACUGUCGCCACCGUGAGUCGCAACUAUGAUGAUGAGCUGCAGUUCUUGGAAAAGAUCAAAUAAAAACUGCUGGAGGAUCAAAAAGGGCUUCAUGCCCAACAUGCAGGUUGAAGGAGUUUUCUACGUGAAUGAUGCUCUGGAGAAAUUAAUGUUUGAGGAAUUAAGGAAUGCCUGUGGAAGUGGUGGUGUUGGUGGCUUCCUGCCAGCCAUGAAACAGAUUGGCAAUGUGGCAGCCCUGCCUGGGAUUGUUCAUCGAUCUAUUGGGCUUCCUCAUGUCCAUUCUGGCUAUGGGGUUUGCUAUUGGGAAUAUGGCAGCCUUUGACAUGAAUGACCCUGAAGUAGUGGUAUCCCCAAGUGGUGUUGGAUUUGAUAUCAACUGUGGUGUCUGCUUGCUAAGAACCAAUUUAGAUGAAAGCGAUGUCCAGCCUGUGAAGGAGCAACUUGCCCAGGCUAUGUCUGACCACAUUCCUGUUGGGGGCAGGAUCAAAAGUUGUCAUCCCAAUGAAUGCCAAAGAUUUAGAGGAGGCCUUGGAUAUGGGUGUGGACUGGUCCCUAAGAUAAGGCUAUGCCUGGGCUGAAGACAAGGAGCACUGUGAGGAGUAUGGAAGGAUGCUACAAGCUGAUCCCAAUAAAGUCUCUGCAAGGGCUAAAAAAAAGAGGCCUUCCUCAGUUGGGGACCCUGGGAGCAGGCAACCACUAUGCAGAAAUCCAGGUUGUGGAUGAGAUUUUCAAUGAGUACACUGCUAAGAAAAUGGGCAUCGACCAUAAGGGACAGGUGUGUGUAAUGAUCCACAGUGGAAGCAGAGGCUUGGGCCACCAAGUAGCCACAAAUGCGCUGGUAGCUAUGGAAAAGGCCAUGAAGAGAGACAAGAUUAUAGUCAAUGACCGUCAGUUGGCUUGUGCACAAAUCGCUUCCCCAGAAGGUCGGGACUACCUGAAGGGAAUGGCAGCAGCUGGGAACUAUACCUGGGUCAACCGCUCUUCCAUGACCUCCUUAACCCAUCAGGCUUUUGCCAAGGUCUUCAACACAACGCUUGAUGACUUAGACCUUCAUGUGAUCUAUGUUGUUUCUCACAACAUUGCCAAAGUAGAGCAGCAUGUGGUGGAUGGAAAGGAACGGACACCGUUAGUGCACAGAAGGGAUCCACCCGCACUUUCCCUCCUCACCAUCCCCUCAUUGCUGUUGAUUACCAAGUUACUGGACAACCAGUGCUUAUUGGCGGCACCAUGGGAACCUGUAGUUACUUUCUUACAGGCACUGAACAAGGCAUGACUGAGACCUUUGGAACAACCUGUCAUGGAGUGGGCCGUGCAUUGUCCCGAGCAAAAUCUCGACGUAAUUUAAAUUUCCAGAAUAUCUUAGACAAAUUGGCAGACAUGGGGAUCGCAAUCCAUGUUGCCUCACCCAAACUGGUUAUGGAAGAGGCUCCUGAGUCCUAUAAGAACGUGACAGAUGUGGUGAACACCUGCCAUGAUGCUGCCAUCAGCAAGAAGGCCAUUAAACCGAGCCCCAUCGCUGUCAUCAAAGGAUAGAACCUGAACAACAGGACUGCAGACACCACUGACCUUCUCUAGUGGAAGUGAACUAAAGCGCUCUUCAGACAUCAAACUCGAGAACUGACAGGUUCCAAAGUAUGCAGCUAUAACUGCUCAUGCCAGAAUGGCUGCCAGGGAGGCUGCUGCUUUUAGGAGCCAGAAUUUUAAAAUCACUUCUGGGAGGAGGCACGUUGCCCCCAUUUGGAAAGGG